UACAGAGGUCUCAAGCGUUGUUCGGAUUCACUGGGCGUAAAGGGUGCGUAGGUGGCGGGGCAAGUCUGACGUGAAAUCUCCGGGCUCAACCCGGAAAUGGCGUUGGAAACUGUCUUGCUUGAGGAUUGGAGGGGAGACUGGAAUACUUGGUGUAGCAGUGAAAUGCGUAGAUAUCAAGUGGAACACCAGUGGCGAAGGCGAGUCUCUGGACAAUUCCUGACACUGAGGCACGAAAGCUAGGGGAG
rnacentral:rRNA from 1 species